UACCAUUCAACAGCAUUACAAGGCAACAAAAUGUAUAAUCAACUAUUACCCAAGAGUAUAAAAUUCAUAAUCCCUGUACAAUGGAGAAAACAAUGUAACAAUUUAAUAACAAAUACCCAAAAGAAAAAUGAAACCCCUAUCAUUUACACUUAGGGAAAAUUUUUAGAAGAAAAAAAUUACAUACAUACCUAUCAAACUCGGUAUCUUUAAUAGCUGUAAGACUCAGAACUCUAGAUCCUAUCUAUGUGGUGGGUGACGGAAAGGAAAUAAAUUGUUAGACCCACCAAAAAAUGGAUAAAAAAUGGAUAAUCUUCAUUGACAUCUAUGCACGUAUUUUUCUCUCUUGUUUGCAAAGAACUACUUCCUUGAGGUAUCAAUGCAGAAACUAACCAGGCCAUGGUUCAAUUCAGUUAUAUAGUGGCAGCAGCAGGCAGCUAAGAACCUAACUAUAUAUCUAGGAGGUUGCUCCUGGGAAAUUAUAUAUGAUAUCUGAGUUAGCAAAUAAAUGUCGGCCAGAUACCGUAAAAUCCAUCUUCACCCCAUAAAAAGGUAUUUCAAGUCCUCCACUGUUAAACGAGUCUGACGACCACCAGUUUCAUCCUCCCCAAAUGCAGAUGCAACCAUCUCCCUCUUUUUUUGCUGUAGGGCUAAAAUUCGAUCUUCAACAGUAUCUUUCACAGUUAAACGCAAAACAGUAACAGGACGAGUCUGUCCUAUGCGAUGUGCCCUAUCGAUUGCCUGAUCUUCAGUAGUAGGAUUCCACCAGAGGUCCAGAAGCAGCACACGACAAGCUGCAACCAUGUUCAAUCCCAGACUAGCAGCUUUCAAAGACAUAAUCAUAACUGACACCUCUGGAAGUGUAUUGAAAUCCUUCACAGCUCUAUCUCUGGCAACAACUGACAUUGUUCCAUCAAGUCUUCUGUACUGAAUUGAACAAUUUUUAAGACAAGUUUCAAGCAAAUCCAACAUCCUUGUCCACUGAGAAAAUACUAUGGCUUUCUCACCAACUACAUUAACUGAACCAUUAACAUUUUCAUCAGCAAGUACAUUUCUCUGAUCACUUUUAUCAUUAACUGAAUUUCCAGAACUACACAAGUUCUCAUGACAGCCGGCAUUUCCAUCAAAAGAGUUCUCUAAAGAACCAUUUGUAGAUGUACAAUCCCCUGGUUUGGUCAGUGAUAGCAAGACUUCAAGCGCAGCCCUAAUUUUUGAGGAAUCAUGUGGACAACCCUCAGAAUAAGGCUUUGUUGCCCGACCAAGUUCAAAGCCAGAACCAUCUUGAGCAGGCUGGUCAGAGAGAGAACUGUUUAAUGUGGAUUUGGAAAACACUGAAGAUUUAUUUAGUCGAACUUUGCAUUUUGACGCAGGGCAUUGGUUGUCAUCACCAGUGAGAUGUUCACAUAUGCAUUGGUUACAGAACACAUGACCACAGAUUGAAACAACAGCAUCUUCCGGUGGAUCAUUGCAGAUGCCACAGAUUGCCAAAGAUGCUUCUAGGCAAUUCCAAAGGCACAUCUGUUUCUCCCUGGGGAGCUUCUUUGCCAUCUCAGUUGAGGAUUUUCCAAAAGAAAUUGAAUCUAAACCCCUAACAAGAAGAGGAUGAUCACAAGCUUGACGAAGACGCAACAGCAUCAACAAAAUGUUGACGUAAUUUUGUUUGACUGUUCCAGCAGCUGCAUAUUCUUUGAACUGAGCACGUGAAGUAAUCUCUAGCCUUGUGUAGAAGUCACGCUCUUCAUCAGUAAAAUCUACUUUUUUCAGUUCUACUACUUUGGGCGGCAGGGUAAUGAUCGGUUUGCCAUCAAUAUUUGUCCCUUUGGUGCGACGAAGCAUUAUUGCCUUCAGCACUGCUUGCAGCUUUUUGUACCCUUUUGUUGGAUUCUUUUGAAUUGGAAUCUUUAUUGUGGAGCAGAACAAUGUGUAGACAUCAUAAGGAUCAUACCUGAGGAACCUGAAGUAGCUAUAAAGAUCAUCUAUUGCAUUUUGGAUAGGAGUUCCAGAUAGGCACCACCUGCGCUUUGCACGAAGACCCCAACAGGCCCUAGCUACUUGAGUUCUAUGAUUCUUGAUGCUCUGAGCCUCAUCCAGGACAACCCUAAACCAUGCCACCUUUGCAAGAGGUCGAGCAACAGACUCAAGUAAUGCAGCAUCCAUUCCUUUCUUAUUCCUAGACCCCUUUUUGCCAAAACUGGGAGGAUAUUUUCUUUUCUUACCAAAUGAGAGCCCCAAGGAUGCUCCAUCAUCACCUUCACCUUUUCCUAUCUCAUCAUCAUCUUCAUCAACAAGAGGUUGCUUUGGCACCUCCAUGCUAACAAUUGAAUAUGUAGUUAGAACAACAUCAUACUUCGCAAGUUCACAAGGAUCCUUUGUUCGAUUGCUUCCAUGGUAUACCAGAACAGAAAGAUUAGCUUUACUGUUAACCUUCUUAUCCAACUCCUCAGCCCAUUGCCGUAAGACACUUGUUGGACAAACAACAAGAGUUCCUGCUGAAGGCCUUCCCGUAGAUUGCCCAUAAGAAUUCAUGCUCUUUUUUGAACUUUGAUUUGACAUGAGUUGAAAACUUUGAGCAUCCUUUUUCAUUCCAUAAACCUCAGUAACCUCAUCAUCAUCCUCAUCCAAAUCUAAAGGUUCAAACACUUCUUUCUUAACUAAUUGUGGAUCUACUUUAACAGAUGGAGGUCGUUCCUUAAGUAUAAGAGCAAUUGUUGAUACUGUCUUCCCUAAUCCCUGAUCAUCUGCAAGAAUUCCUCCUGAACAGUACAUGCUAGUCUCCUUCUGAAUCAUCCAUGACAAAGCAAUUCGCUGAUGUCUCAAAAGAGGAACUGCCAAAACUCCUUCUGGAGGACUAGCUUCGGACUUUGGCUGAGAAAUAUCCUGUAAUGCAGCUCGAAAUAUGAACCUCUCAUCGUUAGCCCUAAGCCUUGUGCUUCCAAUUCCAGUACAAUGAACAGAAUUACCAUAUGCAGAAUGUUGUGUAGGGGCAUUGGCCUUUCCAACUGCAACAGAUUGGUUUAUGCGAACAGGAUGACUGAUAUCUUCAAGAACACAUAGGUCAGUGCCGUCAUCAACAUUGGAUUUGCUACCAGACAAAUUACUCUGAAUUGAUUCAGGGCCGACGCUUGAAAGAUGACCCAAGCACUCAGGUUGAAUCAAUUUACUAUCUCUUUCCUCCUUAACAAAACUCAGCUGCUUGUUCACAUUAGGUUCCUCAACAUGUGAAAAAUAAUGGUCUGAAGCAUUUAAUUUCAAAUGUGCACCAAGGGGAAUUUUACCAGCAAUUCCAUCAAAUUGAGCUCUCAUAGAUGCAACAUUUACGUCUCCUUUCUCAUCAUUAACGUAGAUAAAAUGAUUCUGGCUCCACACAGAAGAUGAAACACCAGAAGAUGAUUGCUUUGACUCUUCAUCAACAAAAAGACUACUUUCAUCACUACAAGAAAACUUUCUAUUGACAGCUUCAUUAGAUAUUUCAUCGGAAUGGCUUAUCAUGCUCCUACAUGCUACCACUUCAUCAAUUUUUCCAUCCUCUACGGCAGCCAGUUGCUUCUUGCAGAUGGUUGACUGAAUACAACUGAAUGGUACUCCUGAUGACUUGUUAUCAACAAAUCUAUCAUCUGUAUUAGAUGAAAAAUUUCUGCUGAUAGGUGAUAUACAGUUAGCAGCUUCACUUUUAAAAUUCAGUCCCUUGACAUCAGAGUAAUCAAUCACUGAAAUCUCAGAAACAGAGCAUGAACUCUCAGUUUGAAACUCCCUGAUUUCAUCGUUUUUGUUAGUUGUAAUUACUUCAUUGCUAGGCAAUAAUUCAAAACUGAAAUCUUCAACAAAAUAACACUCUGGUGAAUCAAGAAAAAAUGUAUUAUCAGCAUUGACACCAAAUUGCCUGGCUGGAAAAUGGGCACCUAAUUCAGUAUUAUCAUCAGAAUGAUGACAAAAGGUAGACUGAGAAGAAACUAGAUUAUGCGAAGAAACAUCAGCAUCCACAAAUGACAUAUCCAUAGAUCUAUAUAAAUCAAUUUCAGGUUUUUCAAUAAAAGCACCACUGUGUCCAAACUUCUCAUGUGAAGUAUUCAUAUAAAGGCCAUGUGAAGCAUCUGCAAUUUCCAGAAAAAAAUAAAUAAAUAAAUCAUUAAUUCCAAUAUAAAUCAGAAUCAUCUAUCUAAAAUAUCAAAUGAAACUAGAUGCCAUACUACAACUUGGAAUCUCAGGCUGCAAUACACCAACCCUCCCUUCUCCUUGAUCCCUGCUACAUGGACAACACCACUCUUUAGGACUUACGGGGCAGGCAUGCAUAGGAGAGCUAAUUUGUGAUGAGGGAUCCAGUGUCACAUGAUUAAAGGCCAUGGCAGAAAUCCCUGCAUGAUCAAAGGAACCAAAUGAACCUCGAAUCCUAGCAUCUGAAGCUUCUGGAUUGUGUGAAGGGUAAAAUGUAGCUGGAUUUAUGGACUCAGAUUCUAAUGCAUGUCGUCCGUUUAACAUCUGAAAACCACUUUGAAGCUGAAAGUUCUUGUGGUUGCCAACAUCAACAUCAGUAGCCGACUCAUUUUUCAAGUUCUUAGAUGAAAAUUCUUCGGGACUACUCUGCAAGUUUGUGAAUGCAAAGAAGAAAUAUUCACUAAAAUGCAAAAGGAAGCUAAACCAUGUUUUCCGAGUUUCACCAGUCCUAAGAGAAAAGUUAGAGCAUGUUUAGUCAAUUAAGAAAAAUAAAAAAUAAAAAAAAGGCUCUCUUUCUUGCAUUGAUUGUAAAAUGUAAAAUCCAAUGAGUUCUCCCGAAUUGCUUGAAAUUAGCCAUUCAGAUGAUGUAUAUUCCCGAUGGCCUUGAGACACCAACAGAAACUCCCAUUUACACCACUAUUAAACAUACAAAAUUAUCUAUCUAGAGCUCAAGAAACAGUUGAAGCCGCCUACUCGAUCCACAAAACCUAGUACCUACAUCCAAUUUUUAUCCGAAUAUGAAACUUGUCCACACUGUAAUCAAGUUCAAAAUCAAAGUUUCUCGGAAUUAUACUCUUAACCCCACAAUUGCUGACUCCAAGGACUGAAACGGCACGUUAUCCACAUAACUCGAGUUCCCAUUUUUUUUUUAUCCAAGAGCAGCAACGGAAGCCUACCUGAGAAGGAUCACCAGGUUCUUCAAGAAUAUGUAAGAAGUCAUCCAUAUCCAUUGUCAAUUCCAAAUUCCCACUGCUAUUGCCGCCAUCAGCCUCGUCAACGCCACUGAUAUCACCACAAGGCCAAGGCCCCGAACCACCAUCGGCCAUAAUCAUCAUCAAAUGAAACUCCAACACCCAAAUCAAACCGAAAAAGCCAAAAAGAAAGAACCAGUCAAUUAAAUAAGCCCCAACACUAACCAAAACUCUUCACUACUGUAAAAUUCAAAUCAAGACUCUUCGAUCCAAAUAUCAGAAACUGCACAUCGUCAACCGAAAACAGCCAAAAUAAUAAAUAUCAAAGAACUUUCUCGUGAUUUUUCUUUCUAUUUUGUGUGUAAGAUUCUACGUUUUUUUUUUUCUUGCUGGAAAACAAACACGAAAAAUAAAGAAAAAGAGCGUUUUAUAUUUAUAGAUUUAAAAGCAGCCAGUUGUGAAUAAUGUGGCAUGGAUGGCGCUGGUUUAAAUAUGAAUGGAUUGACUAGCAUUCAGCAGGGGACUAGGGGAGAGGUCGAACUCGUACGUUAUGUCGUUUAUGCAGGGUUCCUUUGACUUAAAACCUCAGUCGUUGGAUCAGCAUCAACGAUUUGAUCCAAGGAUUGAGAAUGUAUGACCAGAAAACAAGUCGACCGUGAAUAAAU
rnacentral:misc_RNA from 1 species